CGAACGCUGGCGGCGUGCUUAACACAUGCAAGUCGAACGGAAAGGCCCUGCUUGCAGGGUACUCGAGUGGCGAACGGGUGAGCAACACGUGGGUGAUCUGCCCUGCACUUCGGGAUAAGCUUGGGAAACUGGGUCUAAUACCGGAUAGGAACCAUCUUUAGUGUGGUGGUUGGAAAGUUUUUUCGGUGUAGGAUGAGCUCGCGGCCUAUCAGCUUGUUGGUGGGGUAAUGGCCUACCAAUCCGGCGACGGGUAGCCGGCCUGAGAGGGUGUACGGCCACAUUGGGACUGAGAUACGGCCCAGACUCCUACGGGAGGCAGCAGUGGGGAAUGUUGCACAAUGGGCGCAAGCCUGAUGCAGCGACGCCGCGUGGGGGAUGAAGGCCUUCGGGUUGUAAACUCCUUUCGCUAGGGACGAAGCUUUUUGUGACGGUACCUAGAUAAGAAGCACCGGCUAACUACGUGCCAGCAGCCGCGGUAAUACGUAGGGUGCGAGCGUUGUCCGGAAUUACUGGGCGUAAAGGGCUCGUAGGUGGUUUGUCGCGUCGUCUGUGAAAUUCUGGGGCUUAACUCCGGGCGUGCAGGCGAUACGGGCAUAACUUGAGUGCUGUAGGGGUAACUGGAAUUCCUGGUGUAGCGGUGAAAUGCGCAGAUAUCAGGAGGAACACCGAUGGCGAAGGCAGGUUACUGGGCAGUUA
rnacentral:rRNA from 1 species